rnacentral:rRNA from 1 species
UACGUAGGGGGGCAAGCGUUGUCCGGAAUUAUUGGGCGUAAAGAGCUCGUAGGCGGUGUGUCGCGUCGGCCGUGAAAACCUGCAGCUUAACUGUGGGCUUGCGGUCGAUACGGGCAUCACUGGAGUUCGGCAGGGGAGACUGGAAUUCCUGGUGUAGCGGUGAAAUGCGCAGAUAUCAGGAGGAACACCGGUGGCGAAGGCGGGUCUCUGGGCCGAUACUGACGCUGAGGAGCGAAAGCGUGGGGGAGCGAACAGG